rnacentral:lncRNA from 1 species
AGUGAGUUAUAAAGAGAAGGGAUCUCAAUUUAAACCAGAAAUGACUAAAAUACAUCUUUGACUGGAUCUAUGAAUAAAUCUAUGACUGGGUUUGGACAGUACUUGCUUUUUAGGCAAAACAAUGAAUGAUGCAAUCUGAAGCUGGUAUUGCAUCAUACGUGAUAUGAAUUGCAUCAUGUUAUUCCUAGAAGUCAUGGAUGAUGCAAUCAUAAUGAAGCUUACAUCACUCUGCUGAACAAAUUGCCCUAUAUCAGCUCUAGAAAUCAUACAGUGUUGUGCUCUCUUAUUUGUCAGUGUUUGAUUUUGUAAAGGAACACAUUUCUGUUUAGCCAAAGUGAGCAGAGAUGCCUCGUACUUGUGUGAACAGUGCAGAUAACUUCUGCUAUGUUUGUGGUGAAGUGACUUUUGCAUCACAAAAGAAAGCCUAUCACCUUUAUUCUGGCUGCAAAAUUGGAGAUCAGGACAAGAGGUGGGCCCCACACAUAUGUUGUAACACUUGUGCAACAAAUCUUCGCCAGUGGUUGAACAGGAAAAGAAAAUCUAUGGCUUUUGCAGUACCAAUGAUUUGGAGAGAGCCAACAGAUCAUACCAGCAAUUGUUACUUCUGCAUGGUGCCUCCAGUUGGGAAAGGUGUGUCAAAGAAGAAAAAGUGGACUGUGCAUUAUCCAAACAUUCCAUCAGCUAUACACACAGUACCCCACGGAGAAGGACUGCCAGUUCCUGAUGCACCAGAAUCAUUCUCAUUUGAGUCAGACAAGGAAGAGGAAGAGGAUGAAACUUCUGGUCCUGAACCAUCAAUGUCACAGGAUCCACAUUUUCUCCCAUCCUCCUCCUCUGAACCACACCUCAUAACACAAGGUGAACUGAAUGACCUUGUCAGGGAUUUGGAACUACCCAAGAGUAAGGCAGAGCUGUUGGGCUCCAGACUACAGCAGUGGAAUCUCCUGGCAGGUGAUGUUAGGGUUUCCAUGUUCCGUGACCGUCAAAAGGAUCUUGUCCCAUUCUUCUUCAUGGAAGGUGAUCUUGUAGCCUGCAACAACAUCGAUGGUGUAAUGGCAGCCCUCAACAUCGUUCACGAGCCAGAUGA